UGUCAUCAGGCAACCUCACUUCUAUCGUUUAUAUUUGUGUUAAAAAUAUAUAUUUCAAAUGUAUGCCUUAAACUCAAGCCUAAAGAAGAAUAUGUAUAAACAAAUUUUUCAAAAGCAACUGCUAAUUGACUGAAAAUUGAAAUUGAUGCUUCACUUUUGAUCUUUCCUCAUUUAACUUCUAAUUUUAGCAAACACUUUAUUUCUCUAAAGAAAAUACAAUUGAGGAUUAUACAUUUACGCCUUUAGGUCUUCAAAGAAAAAUUUGAUCUAUGCACUUUUUGGUUUUGAUCAAACAGCAGUGCCUAUCAUAACAACUAUGCUAAAAGAUCUCUUACUCUUAGCCAUUAUGGUAGAAUAACUGUAACAUUCUAGAUUUCAUUUUCUUAACAACUCUUAUAUGCCACUUGAUGCAAUGGUAAACAUAAUAUUGCCUUUGUAAGAGGCCUUUCUCUGUCAGAUUGGAUAUGCACAGUUGAUAUGAUAGAAAUUUAGCACUUCACUGGUUAUAUUCAUGUACCCUUAUCGCCUUAUUAAUGUUCUGCCGCACAAAAAUCAUAGUUUAGGUUUGGAGUGAUAUUUCUACAACAUCCACUACUUUAUUCUCUUGACUAUUGACAGAAAUAUGUCAAUGAAAGGAAAUCAGGUAUCUUGCAGGUCUCUUGGAUAUGCUCCAAUUCCUACAUCCUUUAGUCCAGUGGGCAGUUCUAUCAAUGUGCUCUUAAUUUUUCGCUUUCUGGUGCAACUUGAACCAUUUCACUUUGUCUCCGCGAGUAUGAAAAUGAGAGUAUUCACAUGGUGUCCACUUUGUGACUUCACAACGCUCAUCAAAUUUACUUUUCGGAAUUGGUAAAGAGAGAGGUACAUGCUAAUGGAUGUAAAAUUAGAUGAUAAUCAAAGACUUCAAAAAAUAAUUUAUGUAUAAAAAAGAUUAAAAUAUACCUUGAAAUUUGCUACAAGGAUCAUAUAUAUCCCUACAUGAUUUUUUUUAAUUUAAAAGUCAAAAAUAUAAAUUUAAAACUAUUUUUUUCACUUCCGUUAAAUUAAGGGUAUAUGUGAGCUCAUUUUGUAACGGUAGGGGUAUAUGUGAGCCGUUUGUAUAACGGUAAGAGUAUCCACUUUUUAUUAACGAAGGUUAAGCUUAUCUAUCACGUUGUGAACUUUCAGAUUAAUUGGCUUGAUCUGAUUUUUGGUAUAUUUCCUCCUAAAAGACGAUCCAUUAAAUUUUUCACAUCCAUUUAGUUAACUGUAAUACAAAAUGACCAAUUUUUGGCAGUCAAAACAUGAAAUGCUUUCUAGGAGAGUUAUAUAAAUUGUGAUACAUCCCAAUAAUAUACAUCCCAAUAAUUAAUGAAAAGGAAUAUGUGAGAAGAAAAGUGUUUUAUGCAAGCGAUAACAAUAUCAAGCUUUUAAAAUUUUGUUUCUUAAACUUUUGUGGUUCGAGUAAUCUUGUAUCUACAGUUUUUUUAUAUUUAGUUCAUGAUGUAUCGGAAUAAGCAGUUCAUUUACAUAUUAAUAUUUUCCACGUAGAUGCUUUUUGAUAUCUAAAUGGCCAUAUCAGUUCAAGGUUUUAUGUUUUAAAUUUCAACUUUCAAUUCAUUUUGGGAUCAGCCAAUUAAUUAAAUUUUAAUUGCUUGCUUUUUACUAAGCUUAAAUGCUAGCAUUGCAGGAACAUAUGUAAUUUUCUUUUGGUUGCUUCGCUCUUCCUAUCAAGGGUGAUUGCUUAUAGUUCUAGCUGAAGGAUAUGACAGAGAUGACCUACCUCUUAAAGUUUUUAUUUUUUUAUUACAAACAAUACAAUCAAAAGUAAAUGAAGAUGAGGUGAACAAAACUUUCGGUCACAAUACUCAAUCAAUUAAGGCCCCAGGACUUCUCCCGUUCUCUUGGAGAUGAGUGAAGACACAAGCAGAAGAAAGAGUAGAAGUUUGAUAGGAUUCAUUGGUAAACAAAAAAGACAUGUUUAUCACGAAGAGAAUGUAUCUCAAGAGAUAAAAGCUAUUUGUUAUGAAGAUAUAUCAUACUGGACUACAACACUGUAUUCAUUGAGCUCUCAUUACUGUGACAUGUUUCAUGGUAAAUCCCAAUUUUGCUAAUGUGGAAUGAUUUUUACAUUUUCUUAUUUGUUUAGUUUAAAUGCUAUGAUUGUUUGAGGGAUAUUGGGUCUAAUCAGAUCUGACACACUUUCUACCAGACUACAUAAGGAGCCUUAAAAAAGAACACUAUAACAGGUGGAUGUAUAGAGAAGUAAUGAAAGUUAUGUUCUCACAUUAUUCAAUUAUUUGAAGGUUAAAUCGACUAUUUGAUCUCAGUUCCUAAGACGUUAAGUGUUGAUUGAUCUUCCUCCCCAAGGAGCUCAAUUUACCUCUGCACGGAUGAUCUAGAUCAGAAGAUUUUCAAAACUUUCAAUAAUUUCUUACCAUUUAAGUUUCUAUCUCAAAUAUUGUUGGAAUUUAUGUUUUGGCUAUAUCAAAGAAAAUGAGAUGGUUUGACCAUUGAAAUCGAUACACCUCUGAAUGGGCACUUGAUUAAACACUUGUAGGAUUCACAUUGCACCGAUUUUGAGAAAACCUUCAAAGACCAUGAUGAUGCUGCAUUGAGUAUCUUGCAGGUCUCUUGGAUAUGCUCCAAUUCCUACAUCCUUUAGUCCAGUGGGCAGUUCUAUCAAUGUGCUCUUAGAUAGGGAACGAGCACUGAACGAAAAAUACUCAACUUGACGCCCAUAAAAUAUUUUAACAACAACAAAUUAAGGCUUUCUUCCCGUUUUUCUCGACUCCGAGCUCUUGGAAUUGGAAUAAAUUCUGAUAAAAGAAAUAGAUGCAACAACUUCUCUUAACCAUUGACUAUCCUUACUGCUCCCUCGCCGAUAAAUGGCUUGCCUCUUCUCCAACAAAUCACUACUGGUACUUAUACUAAAUUUCAAACUUCCGUUUCCAAAAUUUAUCUUUAAUGUUGAAAAUUCUCAAUUUUGACAGUCAUCUGCAUUCACUCUUAAAGAAAUAAUUGGGUAUUGAAUUAUAAAGAAAAUUUCUUAACUUAAGAUAUCAUGUAUAACAAUAGAUAUAUUUCACUAUUUAUGUAUCUAUCCUAUAAUUAUUUUC